rnacentral:rRNA from 1 species
AGCGUAGGUGGCCUAACAUGUCAACUGUGAAAACCCGGAGCUCAACUCCGGACUUGCAGUUGAAACUGGUAGGCUUGAGGACGGUAGAGGAAGACGGAACUGCCAGUGUAGGGGUAAAAUCCUUAGAUAUUGGCAGGAACGCCGGUGACGAAGGUGGUUUUCUGGGCCGGUUCUGACACUGAUGCUUGAAAGCCAGGGGAGCGAACGG